ACGAACGCUGGCGGCGUGCCUAAUACAUGCAAGUAGAACGCACAGUUUAUACCGUAGCUUGCUACACCAUAAACUGUGAGUUGCGAACGGGUGAGUAACGCGUAGGUAACCUGCCUGGUAGCGGGGGAUAACUAUUGGAAACGAUAGCUAAUACCGCAUAAUAUUGAUUAUUGCAUGAUAAUUGAUUGAAAGAUGCUAUUGCAUCACUACCAGAUGGACCUGCGUUGUAUUAGCUAGUAGGUGAGGUAACGGCUCACCUAGGCGACGAUACAUAGCCGACCUGGGAGGGGGAUCGGCCACACUGGGACUGAGACACGGCCCAGACUCCUACGGGAGGCAGCAGUAGGGAAUCUUCGGCAAUGGACGAAAGUCUGACCGAGCAACGCCGCGUGAGUGAAGAAGGUUUUCGGAUCGUAAAGCUCGGUUGUAAGAGAAGAACGGGUGUGAGAGUGGAAAGUUCACACUGUGACGGUAUCUUACCAGAAAGGGACGGCUAACUACGUG
rnacentral:rRNA from 1 species